rnacentral:rRNA from 1 species
GUGCUCGCAGUGGGCAUCAAGCCGGUGUUCCUAACAGGCCGGACCGAGGACCAGAGGGCCAUCACAGUUGCCAACCUCCGCCGCCAGGGCAUCUCUGCAUGGAUGAACCUGCUGCUCAAGCAACCAGGGUUCAAGGGCUCCGCAGUGACCUACAAAUCCGGCGAGAGGCAACAGCUGCAGGACGCUGGGUAUGUCAUCGUGGGAAACAUCGGCGACCAGUGGAGCGACAUCCUUGGCGCGCCUGAGGGCGCUCGCACCUUCAAGUUGCCCGACCCCAUGUACUACAUCGGCUAG